UGCCGAUUGAAAGAGCUGCGUUCGGUUUUAAUAUAUUUCGCCCUGUACCGCUGUCUUCUGUCUGACAGGCCUUCCUCCAUUUUAAUGUCCGAAACCCUUAUAAUGAAAUCCAGGUGCCAUAAAUCUAACAUGAGGGCUUUUGCUCCCAAAUGUAACAACUGCCCCUCAAAUUUCAUAUCUCACAGCCAGCCCCUAGAUCUUUCUGUAACACUGCCCCCAUCUUCAGUUUGUUCUCCGUUCCUGCUCUCCAUACAUGAACCGACCAAUAAUAUCGUACAAUAACCUGUAUGUAACAGGGUGCUGCUAAGUGUGUCUUUCAAUAUUUACUGGAGUGAGAGCUGGCAUCACAAGUAUAGCUCAUGGGUGACCGAGAGAAUGCAUCAUAUGGAUCCCGGGCCCAGGCAAUCAUCCCCCAGAAGAUGAACCUUCUACUCCGAGGGCUCCUUCUUUUCCUCAUUGGUGUCUUCCUGGCUCUAGUGUUGAACUUGCUGCAGGUGCAGAGGAAUGUCACCCUCUUUCCCCCAGAUGUGCUCUCCAGUCUCUUCUCUUCAGCUUGGUGGGUGCCACUGUGUUGUGGCACAGCUGCAGAAACAUGUGUAUCACAGAGAUUUCCCUCCCUCCAUUGUCUUUCUCCCCUGCUUCGGUAGGUCCGGGCCCCGCUUGCCAGAGAAUGUGCAGGGCCCAGAUACCAGGAGUGAAUCCCCCAGGAGAAAUCAGGGGUACAAUAUUGUCCUGACAGCACUCUUGUUCCAGGAAUGAUGGAUAAUCCUGGGCACUUUGUACACCAGCUCUUUUUACGCACAUCAACAGAGCUGGAAAAUCAAAGAAAUCUCAAGAAAGUUAAACAUUCUCCACUAAAACGGCAAAUUCUGUGAAAUCUGCUAUUUUAGAGUUACCCAAUCGACCAGCACUCCCUGUGCCUAUUACUCUGAAUGGUAAUAUGGGUCAGACAGUUAUCUUUCACAGAAAAGGCAGUUACGAAUUUCAGCCUCCCAGAGAGGAGGUAAGAGAAAUGAUUGUAUUUCACAGUCACUUGUAUUGGACGAGGAGUAUAGGAUUCUUUAUUAGAGUUUAGAAUGGGGACACUGAACGGCUAUGGUCAAAGGUUUUCUGGUGGGCUCCUGUCACCUCAAUCCGACAUUAUUUGGAAGCCUGAGUACUUUUAUUGCUGCAGAGACAGAGUCCAUCACUGCAGCCGCUUACCAACCCUAAAUUAGGGAUUAUUAGGGAUUUUUUUUGUUUUAAAUGGCAACAUUACUCUACUUAACUGCUUAUCGAUUGCUUUGUGCCCUUAUAUACAAAGCUAUGAUGUACUUUGGCACAACAAAUGUGAUAAUAAAUAACUUUA